rnacentral:rRNA from 1 species
AUUGAACGCUGGCGGCAGGCUUAACACAUGCAAGUCGAGCGGGGGAAGGUAGCUUGCUACCUAACCUAGCGGCGGACGGGUGAGUAAUGCUUAGGAAUCUGCCUAUUAGUGGGGGACAACAUUUCGAAAGGGAUGCUAAUACCGCAUACGCCCUAAGGGGGAAAGCAGGGGAUCUUCGGACCUUGCGCUAAUAGAUGAGCCUAAGUCGGAUUAGCUAGUUGGUGGGGUAAAGGCCUACCAAGGCGACGAUCUGUAGCGGGUCUGAGAGGAUGAUCCGCCACACUGGGACUGAGACACGGCCCAGACUCCUACGGGAGGCAGCAGUGGGGAAUAUUGGACAAUGGGGGGAACCCUGAUCCAGCCAUGCCGCGUGUGUGAGGAAGGCCUUUUGGUUGUAAAGCACUUUAAGCGAGGAGGAGGCUACCGAGAUUAAUACUCUUGGAUAGUGGACGUUACUCGCAGAAUAAGCACCGGCUAACUCUGUGCCAGCCGCCGCCGUAACAC